CACACGCAGGUCCAUGGGGAUGGCGGCAGGCGGGAGGCGCAGCGGUAGUGCUGAAUUGAUGUCCACUGGUGAGACAGCGAAGGCCCAACAAAGUGAUUGGAAAUCAGAUGAUUCAGAAGCUGAAUGGUGACUGACAACACUCAGGACGUGAUGUGAAAAACGGCAAAUCUUCUCAAACAUCUUCAACUCCCAAAAGGGCAAGGAAAAACUCCAAACUCCAGCUAGGGGAAACGAGAAACCUUGAGAAGAGACCACGUCUCCGGUCGCUAGAAUUUCCGAGCGUUUUUUUUCUCUAUACAACACCAUUUAAUGUCUUUAAUUAAACUAUUUGGCUUUUAAAUGGAACAAAUUGCUCUCAAAAUUGAAAUAUAAAUAAAAUAACAUUAAUGAUAAUGAACGAUUGACUUUUUUUUUUUAAACACCGUUAAUGAGCAACACUCGCCCUGUGGCUAACUUAUAUCUUUCAACCACCUCGAUGCAAGUUCGAGUCUUGGACUCGGGAAAAAGUUCAGUCUGGUCUUGACUUCCGACCAAGCGUGAAAAUCUGAUUGCAAUCGUGACACAAUUAGGGAUGCACCGAAAUAAAAAUUCUUGGCCGAAACCGAAAACCAAAAAUGAGGAAACCAAGGCCGAAAACCGAAACACCGAAAGAAAUGUCAGUUAUUAGAACCACAGCAUUUAUGGCUACAUGUGUACUAACCUCACUAAAAUCAAGGCAUUGCAAUAAACCAGUUACGAAAGUAUGAAAAUAUUUAUUUAGCACUGACAACAAUGCACAAUAUAAAUUAAAAUUCAAAAAUAAAAUGUUUAACUUGACCCAACUCAUGUGUACAUUAAAUAAUAAUUUACAGGCUUAUAACUGACUGUAAAAUUAAAUAUGUUCUCUUAUAAAAACACAGAGAACUUUCUUGCCUUUUCAAAAACGUCCCCCACAGACGGAGUGGGCGUGCUCGGUGUCAGUUUCCUUUUCUGUGUCGCCUUCUUCUCAUAUUCAGAAUGGCGAUCGGGAUGUUUGGAUUUCAGGUGAUGAAUUAAACCCGACAUGGAGAAA